rnacentral:tRNA from 1 species
GGAAAUGUGCCCGACAGCACAAAGGAGCACCUUGAUAAGGUGUUAUAAAUGGGUUAAAAUCCCAUCAUUUCCU